rnacentral:rRNA from 1 species
GUCCAGACUCCUACGGGAGGCAGCAGUGGGGGAUAUUGCACAAUGGGGGGAACCCUGAUGCAGCGACGCCGCGUGGGUGAAGGAGUAUUUCGGUAUGUAAAGCCCUAUCGGCAGGGAAGAAGCAAGACGGUACCUGACUAAGAAGCCCCGGCUAACUACGUGCCAGCAGCCGCGGUAAUACGUAGGGGGCGAGCGUUAUCCGGAUUCACUGGGUGUAAAGGGAGCGUAGACGGCCAAGCAAGCCAGGGGUGAAAGCCCGGGGCCCAACCCCGGGACUGCUUUGGGAACUGUUUUGCUGGAGUAUGGGAGGGGUAAGCGGAAUUCCUGGUGUAGCGGUGAAAUGCGUAGAUAUCAGGAGGAACACCGGUGGCGAAGGCGGCCUGCUGGACUGCAACUGACGUUGAGGCCCGAAAGUGUGGGGAGCAAACAGGAUUAGAUCCCCUCGUA